GAAAUGCGAUAAUUAGUGUGAAUUGCAUUAUCUCGUGAAUCAUCGAGUCUUUGAACGCAACUUGCACUUUUUAGGUCUCCUAAAAAGUAUACUUGUUUGAGUAUCAUGAACACACACAUCUCUCUUUAUUGAGGGGAGUUGAGACUUUAUGACGUGUCAUAUGUCUUUAAAUGCAUGGUGGGGUCAGGGCAAGGUACAACUUUGCCUGGAGACAUGCGGCGAAAUGUGAGGUAGCCUAUCACACAGACUAGCUUAUUAUUCUCUUCCCACGACGCCAUGGCCUGUCUUGACAGCCACUCCUUCAUAUUGAUCUCAAAUCAAGUAAGACUACCCGCUGAACUUAA
rnacentral:misc_RNA from 1 species